rnacentral:lncRNA from 1 species
AGGUAGGACCUGCGUGCCAUCUCAUCUUGACUCAGCUACUGGUUGAAAGGACAGCGAUUCCGAGACCCUGCAUCUUCUGGGCCAUCACCACCACCGCCUUAGUUUUCUGAAUUCCACGAUGGUAAGUGAGGAGGAGCGACCGCUUUCUUCCAUUUUCAACACUGGGAGCUGUAAUCUCACUUAAAUUUUUUCUUCAGGCUGUUUUUGUACCUCUAUAACGUACUUUAACCUGUAUAGAAUAUUACAUGAUUUCCGUAAUGUAACCUCAUCAUUUCCCCCCUUUAAUUUCUGUCAGCUCAACCUUUAUUGUUAUGUUGAAACAUUGGAUAGCUUCACUUUCUUUUGUAGCCAGUUUUUGAGUUUUUGGAAUUGCGAAGACUUGGCACAUUUAGUGGAAAAGUUAAAACUCGACAGCAGCGCAUCCUGAGGAGCAAAUACGGUUCCAGCAAGGUCUAACUGCUUGCUAAAGAUGCUUUCCUCUUUUGGUCUCAUGUCAUGUGUUUUCUUAACCACAUAAAGGGCAACGUUUCUAGUGAUGCUCAAAGGAUCUUUUCCAUUUUCGCUUUCCCCUUCUACUUAAGAUUUAGUUCGCUCGUGAUCUUUAGGCCAGGCUCCCUUCAGAUGCCAGAAAAGAGGGCUGCAGUGCUCAUGUGUGCCCGGGCUAGCUAGAGUCUCCAGAGGGUUAAUUUAGGUAUCUUCCUCAGCUUUCACUGAGGUCUGUUCCAGUGUCUGCCACUAUGGGACUUGUGUGCUCAAGCCUGUGUGUAUGUGGGGCUAGACUGUGCUUGGAACAAGCUGGAGCGAGUUUGUUACUGGUAGCCGUUCAUGACUUGUGUGUGUUUCUUUCCUUCACACCUGAGGGUCUGUGGUGCAGACUGUCACUUUUACUCCACAACCCCCUUUUCUUACUCUCUGUUUGUUUCUUCUGUCUUGUCCUUACAUAUACCUGCGUGUUAUUUUUGUCUCCCUGAAAACGGUUGAAGUCUGUCCCAGUGAGCCGAUUUUAUUCUUUUGCUUUCAUUUUUAAGGCCGUCAGGGUGAACAGAACACUGUGUGUGUACAUACGCCAUUCCUUUGCUGUCCUUCUGGGGAGGUAGAAGUAGGCUUCUCUCCCAGAUGGACCUUACUUGAAAUAUAGUCCUUGUCUUGAGAGUCCAAAGCUCCUUUGCGGUUGGUUAACCACCAGUCCAGCUCAGGAGGUGUGGUCCUUCCCAGCUAGUUAAAUGGAUUAUGUCUGAACUUUGCUGCAACUGGUCCUGGCAUAUUGCACACAUCUUGAGUGAGGCAGAUGGAUUCCCUUCCUAACUUGAGGUGGGAGACACAUGAAGGCGCUAAGCAGAAGUGGACUUAGAAGGCGAAUCUAAAUGAAGGAGUUUUGCUGGGCACUCCACACGGCACGAGCUUCUGCGAGAGCAUGUUCCUCUGUGACUCACUGUCACCUCAGAUCCCUGGUGGAAAUGGGGUGUAGUCUAUGCAGCCAGCACCUUGCUGCAAGACUUCCCAUUGAUGCUGACCGUAAGAGGGAUCCCCUGCUCACUGGCUUACAUACUUGGGUCUCAGUAAUCCAGGAAAUGUAUAGCAUCUUUCAAACGUUGUCUUCUUUGUAGUUAUUUUAAUAAACCAGGACUUUAUACACAAGACUCAAGCCCUCUAUCACUGAGCUGUAUACAAAGCCUCUUUAAAGUGUUAGAAAACGAAUGGUACCUCUCCCUGAUGACUUUAAUCCCAGCACUGGGGAGACGGAGGCAGGGGGAUCUCUGAGAUUGCAGUCAUCCAGGUCUAAAUAGCAAGUUCAAGGCCAGCUAAGGCUGCAUAGAAAGAUGCAUCUCAAAAAACAAACAAAAAUAUUUCUUUAU